AGGCGCUUGCUCUGACGAUUCCGCCACCGCAUCAUAUCAUAAAACCAUUAAAUCAAUUGUUACAUACAACCCUGGGCGUAGGUUACGCGCUAGCUCACCAAAUGAUACUAUGAUUGCGAGAAUGUUUAAUGAGCGCUUCCAUUCUGUCCGUACCUGCUUUUCGGAUCAAGCAUCUUCAUCAAAUUUGCUAAAAUCAUUCCUCUACAAAAGAAAGAAAACAAAAAUUACGUUGAGAAUUAUUGUCCCAUUUUUUUGUUAUCGAUAAACAAGAAUCUUGAACAAUAUGUAUCGCCAAUCAUAUAUAACUCACAGAUUCACCACUUA